CGUAGGAUUAGGUAGUUGGUGGGGUAAUGGCCUACCAAGCCGACGAUCCUUAGCUGGUCUGAGAGGAUGAUCAGCCACACUGGGACUGAGACACGGCCCAGACUCCUACGGGAGGCAGCAGUGGGGAAUAUUGGACAAUGGGCGAAAGCCUGAUCCAGCAAUGCCGCGUGAGUGAUGAAGGCCUUAGGGUUGUAAAGCUCUUUUACCCGGGAUGAUAAUGACAGUACCGGGAGAAUAAGCUCCGGCUAACUCCGUGCCAGCAGCCGCGGUAAUACGAAGGGGGCUAGCGUUGCUCGGAAUUACUGGGCGUAAAGCGCACGUAGGCGGCUCUUUAAGUCGGGGGUGAAAUCCUGGAGCUCAACUCCAGAACUGCCUUCGAUACUGUAGA
rnacentral:rRNA from 1 species